CUCUGAUACCAAGUUGAUGCCGGACCAAAUUUAAAAUGGAAGCAGAAGAAGAGGGGGAAGAGAAGGAGGAAGAAGAAGAGAAGAAGGAGAAGGGAGGAGAAGAGAAGAAGAGGAAAAUGUGGGGGAAAGAAAUUCUUAAUUCUUCAUUAACCCUAAUCAACAUAAAAGUUCCCUAUAAAUAGGGCCCAAUAAGAACAAUUA
rnacentral:lncRNA from 1 species